rnacentral:rRNA from 1 species
UACGUAGGGUGCAAGCGUUGCCCGGAUUUAUUGGGCGUAAAGAGCUCGUAGGCGGUUCGGUAAGUCAGGUGUGAAAUCUCCACGCUCAACGUGGAGGCGCCACCUGAAACUGCCGUGACUCGAGUCCGGUAGGGGAGUGUGGAAUUCCUGGUGUAGCGGUGAAAUGCGCAGAUAUCAGGAGGAACACCAGUGGCGAAGGCGACUACCUGGCCCACUCUUGACGCUGAGGCGCGAAAGCUAGGGGAGCGAACGGG